CUAUGACUUUUUUAAGUCAUGGCGGAAGGAG
rnacentral:ncRNA from 1 species